GCACGCCGGGCCCGCCGGUCAGCGGGUCGCGGGCGAGCGUGCCGUCCAGGGGAGCCGGGGGCGCGCCGAGUUCGGGUCCCGGGGCGUGCAC
rnacentral:tRNA from 1 species